UGCCAGCAGCCGCGGUAAUACGGAGGGUGCAAGCGUUAAUCGGAAUCACUGGGCGUAAAGGGUACGUAGGCGGAUUUUUAAGUCCGUGGUGAAAGCCUACAGCUUAACUGUAGAACUGCCAUGGAUACUGGAAAUCUUGAGUUCAGUUGAGGUAAGCGGAAUUUAUGAUGUAGCGGUGAAAUGCAUAGAUAUCAUAAAGAACUCCUAUUGCGAAGGCAGCUUACUGGACUUGGACUGACGCUGAGAUGCGAAAGCGUGGGGAGCAAACAGGAUUAGAUA
rnacentral:rRNA from 1 species